AGAAAGCGGCGAACUGAGAUUGGUAGCGCGCGAAGCCCUGAUGGUGCUGCUCCACUGUGCGCCACUGCUGCCCAGCUAUCCUCCUCUCUCCGGUGUCGACCUUUCGCCUCUCCUCCACAGCGUGAAACCCCUACUCCCUCCCUCCUCCAGGGUGCGCGAAAUCCCUAAUCUCUGAUCCACCCUGCGCCUCUAUGGGGUUGUGGAGUCGCGCGGCUGCCAUCCGUCUGUCUCUUCCCGGCGUCGACCUUUCGGCUCUCCUCCACAGUGCGCGAAACCCCUGCUUCCUCCUCCACGUUUGUUACUUAAUCAGGGAAAUCAAGGUAUCAAAGACAAGCAGUGGCAGAAAGCCAUUGGAGUCUUGCAGAUUAAUCACAAAAGUGAUUACUUUUAGUUAGCUAUGUUAUUUAGUUGGCAUUUAAGAAAAGGGACAAAAGAUUUUAUUUCUCUUACUAGACAAUUAGAUAGAUGCCUUUCCUAUCUUCACCUUUUCUAUAGUCUUUAUUUAUUAUGUAAUUUCGGUCUGCUCACAGAGGGGAACUCAAUUUUAAUGAUGAUUUUGUUGUAUUAGCCUGAAUAUAAAUGUUUGUAGAUUUGCUACACUUCUUUGGCAAUUAAAGCAAGUGUUUCAGUUUCUCGUGCAUUAGGGAUUGACUUCUCAAUCAACCACCAGGCCAGGCCACCAUUCUCUGUUUUUAAUAGGCCUCUGGAUGAUGCUUCUGACCCCUCAAGACCAAUUGAAUUCUUGGUUAACCAUAGCCAGCCUCAGCAAUAACUCUGUGACACCAUUUGCAACUUAACUACCAUCAGUACCUCUACCGACAGAUGUUGAUUACCUCAAUAAGGAAAAUGGCCAUCAGAGGGAUGCUGGGUCCACUGCAUCAACAGCUAUGGUGUUGGGCGACCGAAUUCUUGUUACAAAUGUUGGCAAUUCCAGAGUAGUUACAUCCAGAGCUGGUACAGAGUAUUGCAACAGAAAUGCAGAGUGAGUCUAAAUGGAAGCAGAUGGGAGAAUUAGCUAUGUCUAAUGGAAGGGUACUUUUUAUGUUAUUUGAAACUUAAAUUUUAGAUAUGGCUGAGGAUUGUUUGAAUCAUGUGAUGGAUUUGAGCGAGUUAUUACCAUUGUAUUCUUCUUUAGGAGAAGCUGAAGGAAUAUCAAAAUGUGUUUUUUUGGCUAGUUGUAGAAAAAAUUAGGUAGCUUUGUGGAGAAAUUAUUUUUUUUACUAUAAUAGUGAAGAUUGUGGGGGUUAUAAACAUUUGCUAUUUUUUUUUUUUAAAAAAAAUGCAUG